rnacentral:rRNA from 1 species
AAGACCUUGUGCUUUUGGAGCGGCCGAUGCCUGAUUAGCUUGUUGGUAAGGUAAAAGCUUACCAAGGCUUCGAUCAGUAGCUGGUCUGAGAGGACGACCAGCCACACUGGGACUGAGACACGGCCCAGACUCCUACGGGAGGCAGCAGUGGGGAAUUUUGGACAAUGGGCGCAAGCCUGAUCCAGCCAUGCCGCGUGAGUGAAGAAGGCCUUCGGGUUGUAAAGCUCUUUCAGUCGGGAAGAAAAGGUUGCGACUAAUAAUCGUGAUCAAUGACGGUACCGAAAGAAGAAGCACCGGCUAACUACGUGCCAGCAGCCGCGGUAAUACGUAGGGUGCGAGCGUUAAUCGGAAUUACUGGGCGUAAAGGGUGCGCAGGCGGUUUUGUAAGUCAGAUGUGAAAUCCCCGGGCUUAACCUGGGAACU